AUUGAACGCUGGCGGCAGGCCUAACACAUGCAAGUCGAGCGGAUGAAGGGAGCUUGCUCCUGGAUUCAGCGGCGGACGGGUGAGUAAUGCCUAGGAAUCUGCCUGGUAGUGGGGGAUAACGUCCGGAAACGGGCGCUAAUACCGCAUACGUCCUGAGGGAGAAAGUGGGGGAUCUUCGGACCUCACGCCAUCAGAUGAGCCUAGGUCGGAUUAGCUAGUUGGUGGGGUAAAGGCCUACCAAGGCGACGAUCCGUAACUGGUCUGAGAGGAUGAUCAGUCACACUGGAACUGAGACACGGUCCAGACUCCUACGGGAGGCAGCAGUGGGGAAUAUUGGACAGUGGGCGAAAGCCUGAUCCAGCCAUGCCGCGUGUGUGAAGAAGGUCUUCGGAUUGUAAAGCACUUUAAGUUGGGAGGAAGGGCAGUAAGUUAAUACCUUGCUGUUUUGACGUUACCAACAGAAUAAGCACCGGCUAACUUCGUG
rnacentral:rRNA from 1 species